GGCGAGUGAAGCGGCAACAGCUCAAAUUUGAAAUCUGGCCCCCUCCGGGGGUCCGAGUUGUAAUUUGAAGAGGGUGCUUUGGCGUCGGCGGCGGUCUAAGUCCCUUGGAACAGGGCAUCGCAGAGGGUGAGAAUCCCGUAUGUGGCCGCGAGCCUUCGCCGUGUAAAGCCCCUUCGACGAGUCGAGUUGUUUGGGAAUGCAGCUCUAAAUGGGAGGUAAAUAUCUUCUAAAGCUAAAUACUGGCCAGAGACCGAUAGCGCACAAGUAGAGUGAUCGAAAGAUGAAAAGCACUUUGGAAAGAGAGUCAAACAGCACGUGAAAUUGUUGAAAGGGAAGCGCUUGCAGCCAGACUUGCUCGCAGUUGCUCAUCCGGGCCCGCGCCCGGUGCACUCUUCUGCGGGCAGGCCAGCAUCAGUUUGGGCAGCCGGAAAAAGACCUUGGAUCAUGUAUCUUCCUGCGGGAUGACCUUAUAGGGGAGGUGCAAUGCGGCUAGCCCGGACUGAGGUCCGCGCAUUUCGCUAGGAUGCUGGCGUAAUGGCUGUAAGCGGCCCGUCUUGAAACACGGACCAAGGAGUCUAACAUCUAUGCGAGUGUUUGGGUGUCAAGCCCGGACGCGCAAUGAAAGUGAACGGAGGUGGGAGCCCUCUCGGGGGUGCACCAUCGACCGAUCCUGAUGUCUUCGGAUGGAUUUGAGUAAGAGCAUAGCUGUUGGGACCCGAAAGAUGGUGAACUAUGCUUGAAUAGGGUGAAGCCAGAGGAAACUCUGGUGGAGGCUCGCAGCGGUUCUGACGUGCAAAUCGAUCGUCAAAUUUGGGCAUAGGGGCGAAAGACUAAUCGAACUAUCUAGUAGC
rnacentral:rRNA from 1 species